GUGGGGAAUCUUAGACAAUGGGCGCAAGCCUGAUCUAGCCAUGCCGCGUGAGCGAUGAAGGCCUUAGGGUUGUAAAGCUCUUUCGUGGGGGAAGAUAAUGACUGUACCCCAAGAAGAAGCCCCGGCUAACUCUGUGCCAGCAGCCGCGGUAAUACGGAGGGGGCUAGCGUUGUUCGGAAUUACUGGGCGUAAAGCGCACGUAGGCGGACUGGAAAGUCAGGGGUGAAAUCCCGGGGCUCAACCCCGGAACUGCCUUUGAAACUCCCAGUCUUGAGUUCGAGAGAGGUGAGUGGAAUUCCGAGUGUAGAGGUGAAAUUCGUAGAUAUUCGGAGGAACACCAGUGGCGAAGGCGGCUCACUGGCUCGAUACUGACGCUGAGGUGCGAAAGCGUGGGGAGCAAACAGGAUUAGAUACCCGAGUAGUCC
rnacentral:rRNA from 1 species